rnacentral:rRNA from 1 species
GACGGAGGGUGCAAGCGUUGUUCGGAAUUACUGGGCGUAAAGGGCGCGUAGGCGGUCUGUUAAGUUCGGUGUGAAAGCCCCCGGCUCACCUGGGGAACUGCGCCGGAAACCGACAGACUCGAGUACCGGAGAGGAGGGUGGAAUUCCUGGUGUAGCGGUGAAAUGCGUAGAUAUCAGGAGGAACACCGGUGGCGAAGGCGGCCCUCUGGACGGAUACUGACGCUGAGGCGCGACAGCGUGGGGAGCAAACAGG